CCUCCGCGGCGGCGGCGUCCCCCGGAGGCGUCUACACAAGUCGCGCGCAUGCCUGGGAGGGGCGGGCCACUGUGCUUCAGAGGCAGCGGCUACGUCGCUGUAGCUGGGCCCAAGAUGGACCUUCCAGUUUUGCUCGCUGCUCCGACGGCGCGCGGAAGCCAACAUGGCGGUGGUGCUCCAGGCCGGCUUCGCCGAGGCCCAGGGCCACCCCUCGGCGCGAGCGCUGGGCGCCGUCGUCUGCUGCUACUGAGGGACUCGGAAGAUGGCGGGCCGGGGCCGGGGCCGGGGCCGCGGCGUGGGGAGGACCCCGGACUGAGCCCUCCGUCUUCCGAGGACGGCGGUGACUCCUUCUUGGUCUUGCUGGAAGUGGCGCGUGGCGGUACCGCGGAGGCCGCCGGACGGCAGGAUGCUGAGCCGGACCCCGGCGCGAGCCCCACGGGCCGCCCAGAGCAGGCCUCCAGUGCCCCGGCCUCCGACCCCGGCGCCGCCCUCGCGGGCACCGUCACCAUCGACGACCAAGACCUGCUGGUGCGUUUCGACCAUGGAGUCUUCACGUUGGCCGCUGCACCUCCGCCCGCUCCGGGGCCGCCCGCCUGCCGGCCGCCCGCGAAACCCGGCCCCGAGGCUCCGAGCCCCGCCGAGGGGCCCCGCGGACCCUCAGGCUCUAGCUCCAGCGCGCCGGCCUACCGCUGCCCCGAGCCGCAGUGCGCACUGGCCUUCGCCAAGAAGCACCAGCUUAAGGUGCACCUGCUGACGCACGGUGGCCUCCAGGCCCGUCGGCCCUUCAAGUGCCCACUGGAGGGCUGCGGCUGGGCCUUCACCACCUCCUACAAGCUCAAGCGGCACCUGCAGUCGCAUGACAAGCUGCGGCCCUUCAGCUGCCCGGUGGGCGGAUGCGGCAAGAAGUUCACUACGGUCUACAACCUGAAAGCGCACAUGAAGGGCCAUGAGCAAGAGAGUUUGUUCAAGUGCGAGGUGUGCGCUGAGCGCUUCCCCACGCAGGCCAAACUCAGUUCUCACCAGCGCAGCCACUUCGAGCCCGAGCGCCCCUACAAGUGUGAUUAUCCUGGCUGUGAGAAGACAUUCAUCACAGUGAGUGCCCUGUUUUCUCAUAACCGAGCCCACUUCAGAGAACAAGAGCUCUUUUCUUGUUCCUUUCCUGGAUGCAGCAAACAGUAUGAUAAAGCCUGUCGAUUGAAAAUUCACCUAAGAAGUCAUACAGGUGAAAGACCAUUUGUUUGUGAUUCAGACAGCUGUGGUUGGACCUUUACCAGUAUGUCCAAACUUCUAAGGCAUAAAAGGAAACAUGAUGAUGACCGGAGGUUCACCUGCCCUGUGGAAGGCUGUGGCAAAUCAUUCACGAGAGCAGAGCAUCUGAAAGGCCACAGCAUAACCCAUCUAGGCACAAAACCAUUCGAGUGUCCUGUGGAAGGGUGCUGUGCUAGGUUCUCCGCUCGCAGUAGUCUGUACAUUCACUCUAAGAAGCAUCUUCAGGACGUGGGUGCUCCAAAAACUCGCUGCCCAGUGUCCAGCUGCAAUAGACUCUUCACUUCCAAGCACAGCAUGAAGGCUCAUGUGUUGCGGCAGCACAGCCAACGCCAAGAUCUCGUACCUCAGCUGGAAGCUCCAAGUUCUCUUACACCAAGCAGUGAACUGAGUAACCCAGGUCAAAGUGAGCUCUCUAACAUAGAUAUAGCAGCACUCUUCUCUGAUACGUCUGCCAACAGUAGUAGUUCAGCAAGUGGACCGGAUGAGGCACUGAAUUCUGGAAUCCUAACCAUUGAUGUUACUUCUGUGAACUCCUCUCUGGGAAAGAACCUCCCUGCUAAUAAUAACUCCUUAGGGCCCAUGGACCCUCUGGUCUUGGUAGCCCACAGUGAUAUUCCUCCGAGUCUGGAUAGCCCUCUGGUUCUUGGGACAGCAGCCACAGUUCUUCAACCAGGCAGCUUCAGUGUGGAUGAUGUGCAGGCUGUGAGUCCAGGAACAGUAGGCUGUUUGGUGGCACUGCCUGUGAAGAACUUGAGUCAAGAUUCACCUGCUUUGACUUCUGGCAGUAACCUGGCAGCACAUACAACUACAUCAAGCUCUUCAGGCACUUCCCAAGAAACUACCAGUGCCCCAGAACUUGUGACUUCAAUUAAGGUGGAGCGAGACUCACCUCCUCUCCCAGAUGUGGUUGAGCAGCAGGAAGGAAGCCUAGGGCCAAGCCCAUCUGUGUUCUCCAGCCCCACAGAGCAGCAUGGUCCUCAGAAGGACACAGAACUCAGUGCAGGCACUGGGAACCUCUUUUUGGUAUGAAACACUAUUCAGUCACCACCAUAUAACUCACUUCUCUUGCAUUCAGUUUUGAGGAUAUUCUGGAUUAAUCCUUUCUAUGCAGUUUCUUACUGAUUUGCAAAAGGAUGGAACCUUGGACUAUAAGUCUGAAUCUGAAUCCAGCCUUGAGUCUUAGAACCAACAGUUCUUGCAACCUUGAGCAAAUGUCUUAACCUAUUUGAGCCUUAAAUUCUCCAUUAUUUCUAAAAUAAGGGAAUUGGCCAGAUGAUUUCUAAGGUCCUUUUGACUUCUCUGACAGUGGUAAUGUGCUUAUUUUUUUGGUAAAACUUGGGGCACUUCAUAAUACUGAAAUAUUUUGUCUUUGUGCUUUCUAUAUAGCUACAAGUCCUAGAAGAGGAGGAAUUGCAGCAUAAACUACCUUUAAAAGUUUUAAUCGAAACUAAAACCAUUUCAAAAUGUUUUUUAAAAUUAUAGUUAAGGGGGAAAAGGAGUGGCUUAUGAGCCUUCAUUCUUGAAAGGUAACAACAAUACUCCAAUUUUGAGACUGGAUAGUUUUACUUUAAUUUACACCAAUUACGCAUUUAUUAUAAUUUAAUUUAAAAUAAUUUAAAUAUUUUUGAAGAGAGUUUGACUUUCCUCAGUGUACAAUGGAAAUGAUCAUCUGUGAAAGUGGUUUUUUUCUUUAAAACACAAGAAAUUUGAUAGAGGUAUUUAUAUUAUUCAAAUGUUAAAUCUUGUUUUACCACAAUUUAAAUACAUUGAAUCUUCUGAAUUGGGAUCAAGUGUGAAGACACUUGGAAAUGAUCUACCAUGGAACCAGUUUUCAGGUUUUUUCAGUGUGAGAGGAUAGUCCUUCUCCAUUUCUGGUGUCUUGCUUGUUGGCAGAGCCAUGUUUGCUAGCAUCUGUUUAGGCUGCCUCAGCAGUGGCUAAGCAACUGGUGAUUGGGCAGGGACAGAUGGGAGGUGGAUGUAGGUCAGAGCCACAUGGAAAGUCAGUCUUAGUGCCCAUGGCAAACAGAAGUGUUCUUAAGCCUCACUGCAUCUCCAGAGCCAUACCUAUGGGUGGAGGUGGAGGAGCCCGUAAGACCUCAGUCCUAACCCCUUGUUCAUUUUCUUGCUAGCUGUGUGACGUUGGGCUCCCUCGCUUCUCUGAGUACAAAUGGUGUGUGGUGAAUGGGUUACAGGUAUGCCUUGAGCUGUAGAGAGUUAUUCUUCUCUCUGUAGUGAUAAGCGUUAAACUUUUUCAUAUGAAACAUUCAUAAAUGUAUGACAGUUUACUGUUUGAAUACUGUUCAUUUGACUCCCUUAGUAAAUUUGUUGAAUUCAGUAAUGUUCUUACUGUUUUGCUCUAUAAGACUUUGGAGUGUAGCACCUGCUGCCAGAAUGGCCUCUGCAGUGAGUGGAGAAGGCAGCACCACUCAAGACCUGCAGGGUGCAGACAGUAUGGGAAACCUUUUGGUGUUGCUGUAGUAAUGUAAUUUUGGGGAUUCAUUGGAAGUUGUGAAAGCAGAGAGACAGGCAGUUCAUUUUGUAACAGUUUCUGUAUAAAGUGUUUUAAUGUUUUAGAUUUUGGAGGAAUAAACUCUUCCAAAUAACAUUUUCAUGUUCCAGAUCUGAUUAUGUUCAGUUAGCACUAUGACUGGUUGUAGCAUUUGGUUCUCUGGGUGCCUUUGCUGGAUUACUGAACUUUAAAAGUUCCGAAGUAAGCUUAGAACAUUUCUGUAGUUCCCUUGCUACCCUUCCUUUACUCUUUAGAUCAAGUGACUGACACACUUUUCUUUGGUCCCAGGAAAGUGGGGGCUCAGCAAGAACUGAUUACCGAGCCAUUCAACUAGCCAAGGAAAAAAAGCAGAAAGGAACUGGGAACGAUGCAGUAACCGUAUUAGAGUUUUCUGCAGUUGUGCCAUUGAGACCCAGAGGUUAAUUUCCCAGCAUCACAGAGGCAGGCUGGGCAUAGAUUCUGCUCUUCCCUUCAUGUUGGGCAUGCCCCAAAGGAUCGCGAAUGCCCAAGAAGCUGAGGCCUCACAAACACAUCUUGUUGACAGAUUUGACAAGCAGCAGCGUCAGAUCAGAAACACUGAAGGUGAUGAGAAAGAUGAAUGCCUCCAUGGAAAAGCGAGAGAGGAUAUGAGCAAGUACUCUCAGAAGACAGCCAACAGACAGGGGGAGCAAACAUCUGCCUCCCAGGUAGAUAGAAACCCAGGGCUGGCAGAGGUGCAUGGGGAAUGUCUACGGACAUAGCCUGCCAUUUCUGGGAAGUUAUUUGGUGAUGUUUCCAAGAACAACAACAAAAACAGUAAUGUUUAAUUUUGUAAAUAUGUAUUUAGAAAUUAGCUUAUAGAAAUGCUCAAAUUUCUGUAAAAGGUACUAAGAGCCAGCUGCUGUUCUGUGCAGAACUGUUUAUAGUUUGUAAUCAAAUAUUUGUAACUUAAAUGUUCUUUAAUAAAGCUGCACACUUUGUA